GUGAAAAAGAACCUGAAACCGUGUACGUACAAGCAGUGGGAGCACAGAGCAAUCUGUGUGACUGCGUACCUUUUGUAUAAUGGGUCAGCGACUUAUAUUCUGUAGCAAGGUUAACCGAAUAGGGGAGCCGAAGGGAAACCGAGUCUUAACUGGGCGUUAAGUUGCAGGGUAUAGACCCGAAACCCGGUGAUCUAGCCAUGGGCAGGUUGAAGGUUGGGUAACACUAACUGGAGGACCGAACCGACUAAUGUUGAAAAAUUAGCGGAUGACUUGUGGCUGGGGGUGAAAGGCCAAUCAAACCGGGAGAUAGCUGGUUCUCCCCGAAAGCUAUUUAGGUAGCGCCUCGUGAAUUCAUCUCCGGGGGUAGAGCACUGUUUCGGCAAGGGGGUCAUCCCGACUUACCAACCCGAUGCAAACUGCGAAUACCGGAGAAUGUUAUCACGGGAGACACACGGCGGGUGCUAACGUCCGUCGUGAAGAGGGAAACAACCCAGACCGCCAGCUAAGGUCCCAAAGUCAUGGUUAAGUGGGAAACGAUGUGGGAAGGCCCAGACAGCCAGGAUGUUGGCUUAGAAGCAGCCAUCAUUUAAAGAAAGCGUAAUAGCUCACUGGUCGAGUCGGCCUGCGCGGAAGAUGUAACGGGGCUAAACCAUGCACCGAAGCUGCGGCAGCGACACUGUGUGUUGUUGGGUAGGGGAGCGUUCUGUAAGCCUGUGAAGGUGUGCUGUGAGGCAUGCUGGAGGUAUCAGAAGUGCGAAUGCUGACAUAAGUAACGAUAAAGCGGGUGAAAAGCCCGCUCGCCGGAAGACCAAGGGUUCCUGUCCAACGUUAAUCGGGGCAGGGUGAGUCGACCCCUAAGGCGAGGCCGAAAGGCGUAGUCGAUGGGAAACAGGUUAAUAUUCCUGUACUUGGUGUUACUGCGAAGGGGGGACGGAGAAGGCUAUGUUGGCCGGGCGACGGUUGUCCCGGUUUAAGCGUGUAGGCUGGUUUUCCAGGCAAAUCCGGAAAAUCAAGGCUGAGGCGUGAUGACGAGGCACUACGGUGCUGAAGCAACAAAUGCCCUGCUUCCAGGAAAAGCCUCUAAGCAUCAGGUAACAUCAAAUCGUACCCCAAACCGACACAGGUGGUCAGGUAGAGAAUACCAAGGCGCUUGAGAGAACUCGGGUGAAGGAACUAGGCAAAAUGGUGCCGUAACUUCGGGAGAAGGCACGCUGAUAUGUAGGUGAAGUCCCUCGCGGAUGGAGCUGAAAUCAGUCGAAGAUACCAGCUGGCUGCAACUGUUUAUUAAAAACACAGCACUGUGCAAACACGAAAGUGGACGUAUACGGUGUGACGCCUGCCCGGUGCCGGAAGGUUAAUUGAUGGGGUCAGCGCAAGCGAAGCUCUUGAUCGAAGCCCCGGUAAACGGCGGCCGUAACUAUAACGGUCCUAAGGUAGCGAAAUUCCUUGUCGGGUAAGUUCCGACCUGCACGAAUGGCGUAAUGAUGGCCAGGCUGUCUCCACCCGAGACUCAGUGAAAUUGAACUCGCUGUGAAGAUGCAGUGUACCCGCGGCAAGACGGAAAGACCCCGUGAACCUUUACUAUAGCUUGACACUGAACAUUGAGCCUUGAUGUGUAGGAUAGGUGGGAGGCUUUGAAGUGUGGACGCCAGUCUGCAUGGAGCCGACCUUGAAAUACCACCCUUUAAUGUUUGAUGUUCUAACGUGGACCCGUGAUCCGGGUUGCGGACAGUGUCUGGUGGGUAGUUUGACUGGGGCGGUCUCCUCCUAAAGAGUAACGGAGGAGCACGAAGGUUGGCUAAUCCUGGUCGGACAUCAGGAGGUUAGUGCAAUGGCAUAAGCCAGCUUGACUGCGAGCGUGACGGCGCGAGCAGGUGCGAAAGCAGGUCAUAGUGAUCCGGUGGUUCUGAAUGGAAGGGCCAUCGCUCAACGGAUAAAAGGUACUCCGGGGAUAACAGGCUGAUACCGCCCAAGAGUUCAUAUCGACGGCGGUGUUUGGCACCUCGAUGUCGGCUCAUCACAUCCUGGGGCUGAAGUAGGUCCCAAGGGUAUGGCUGUUCGCCAUUUAAAGUGGUACGCGAGCUGGGUUUAGAACGUCGUGAGACAGUUCGGUCCCUAUCUGCCGUGGGCGCUGGAGAACUGAGGGGGGCUGCUCCUAGUACGAGAGGACCGGAGUGGACGCAUCACUGGUGUUCGGGUUGUCAUGCCAAUGGCACUGCCCGGUAGCUAAAUGCGGAAGAGAUAAGUGCUGAAAGCAUCUAAGCACGAAACUUGCCCCGAGAUGAGUUCUCCCUGACCCUUUAAGGGUCCUGAAGGAACGUUGAAGACGACGACGUUGAUAGGCCGGGUGUGUAAGCGCAGCGAUGCGUUGAGCUAACCGGUACUAAUGAACCGUGAGGCUUAACCUU
rnacentral:rRNA from 1 species